GACACGAUAUUUAUAUAGUGCACGAGCAAGGCAUCGGGUAUUUUUCUCCAAUCUUGGUAGCUGACUUGGAUAUCAAUCCUAGGGCGAAUAGUAGUGGGAGGCGGCCGAAGCUAGGGUUUCUCGCUGGUCCUUCAUCACAUCGCUUCAGGUUCUUCUGAAAGGUCGAAGCCAUGUCUCGUGUUUAUGUUGGUAACUUGGACUCAAGAGUUACUGAGAGAGAUCUUGAAGAUGAAUUCCGUGUAUUUGGAGUCAUACGAAGUGUGUGGGUCGCAAGGAGGCCACCUGGUUAUGCUUUUAUAGACUUUGAUGACCGCAGAGAUGCCCAAGAUGCUAUUCGGGAAUUAGAUGGUAAGAAUGGUUGGAGGGUAGAGCUUUCCCACAAUUCCAGAGGUGGAGGUGGUGGGCGUGGAGGUGGUCGUGGUCGUUCUGGUGGAUCUGAUCUGAAGUGUUAUGAGUGUGGUGAGCCUGGUCACUUUGCUCGUGAAUGUCGCAUGCGUGGUGGUUCAGGAAGACGUCGCAGUCGCAGUCGCAGUCCGCCACGAUUUCGAAGGAGCCCAAGUUAUGGGCGAAGUAGGAGUUAUAGUCCUCGUGGUCGGUCUCCUAGGCGUCGCAGUUUAUCACCUCGAGGACGCAGCUAUAGUAAGUCACCUCCUUACCGUGGACGUGAGGAGCCACCAUAUGCUAAUGGGAAUGGUGCAAGGGAUCGACGCCGAAGCAGAAGUUGAUUUAAAAGUGUUGGCAACUGUGUUGUUCAAGUGGAUAUUGAAAUUUUGUUAAACUAGUGUGCUUGCACUGCGGUUCAAGUCUGUUUAGAUGGGCAAUGCCCUGAACAUCCUACUCUUGGAUUGGACUAGUUACUUUCUUGAUUUCUCAGCUUGUGUUCUUUAUUCUAUGCAGGACGCAUGUAGUUCCAUUACAGGUGUCUUCUGGUACUGCUUCAUUGGUUUUGUGCUUCUGCAUUCCCUGGGAUAUCGUUCCUGGCUGCCCUUCUCUGGGAUCUCCAAUUUUGAAUAGUUUUGGGUCCCAUCCAGCUACAUGCUUCUGUUUGAGUCUCGUCACUUGUGAUUUGCGCACCUCAAACUCUAUUGGCAUUUCUUUUUAUUAACUUAAAAGGGGUUGACGGCCUGCAUCAAAUACUUCUGGCAGUGGCAGUGUUGUAGAAACCUGAUUUGUGUUGAUCAUGUCAUAAGUUUCCCCUGAUCGACUGGCUUGAAAAUCAUGUGAUCGGCAGCUGUCCUGGGUUCUUCCUGCUGGUGUGGUCUGUUGCAUCAAGCUUUAUUUUGACCAUUUUCUUUUUUAUUUUUUUUGGUUAAAUUUUUUAUAGGCCACAAUCGUUUAGGUAAACAAUAACUCGCAGCGUUUGGCAGGCUUGCGGGUAUUUCCUUGAAAUUAAUUUAUGAUUUGGUGUUGGGUUUUUUUGUGUUGUACGCUGUUCAGUAAUGAAAUAAACUUGCAGCAGGGGCCUGGCUUGUGACUGAUACUAAAUCAGGUAGGCAGGAUGAAGAUAUCAUGAUAUGUUGGGGUAGGAAUAUGUUGAGUCUUGUCGGCCAUGCAUAGGAGUACAAGGUUAGAUGUCUGAGUCGCGUCAGCGAUUCAUAGGGUUACUUUAGCCUGCAUUAAUAUGAAAGCAAAUGUAGCUUUUAUCUGCUUGAACCUGCAUUAAUUGCAUCCGAUGGUGGUAAUGAGUUGAUGAUGGCCGUGAAUCUUCUUGGUACGAAUCACUCUUUGCUUUCCUCUGGGACUAUAUUGCCAUGCGACCAGCGUGUGAAACAUCGGCAUUCUUCUAUUCGGAUGAAAUGCUUCAUGUCAAACCCAUUUUUCUUGUAAAUGAAAUGGGUUUUGUCCUUUCCACAACUUGUUUUUACCCCGCUACAUCUGUCAUUUUAGUGCAGGGAGUCCACUACUUUCAUGUACAAGUAUUUUGCAUUUUAUUUAUUCAUGUUGUGUCCUUUUGACGUCAAA